rnacentral:rRNA from 1 species
UACGUAGGGUGCAAGCGUUGUCCGGAAUUAUUGGGCGUAAAGAGCUUGUAGGCGGUUUGUCGCGUCUGCUGUGAAAUUUCGGGGCUCAACCCCGAACUUGCAGUGGGUACGGGCAGACUAGAGUGUGGUAGGGGAGACUGGAAUUCCAGGUGUAGCGGUGAAAUGCGUAGAUAUCUGGAGGAACACCGGUGGCGAAGGCGGCAUCCUGGACCAAUACUGACGCUGAGGAGCGAAAGCCAGGGGAGCAAACGGG